GAUGAACGCUGGCGGCGUGCCUAAUACAUGCAAGUCGAGCGAACAGACGAGGAGCUUGCUCCUCUGACGUUAGCGGCGGACGGGUGAGUAACACGUGGAUAACCUACCUAUAAGACUGGGAUAACUUCGGGAAACCGGAGCUAAUACCGGAGAAUAUAUUGAACCGCAUGGUUCAAUAGUGAAAGACGGUUUUGCUGUCACUUAUAGAGGGAUCCGCGCCGCAUUAGCUAGUUGGUAAGGUAACGGCUUACCAAGGCGACGAUGCGUAGACGACCUGAGAGGGUGAUCGGCCACACGGGAACUGAGACACGGUCCAGACUCCUACGGGAGGGAGCAGUAGGGAAUCUUCCGCAGUGGGCGAAAGCCUGACGGAGCAACGCCGCGUGAGUGAUGACGGUCUUCGGAUCGUAAAACUCUGUUAUUAGGGAAGAACAAAUGUGUAAGUAACUAUGCACGUCUUGACGGUACCUAAUCAGAAAGCCACGGCUAACUACGUG
rnacentral:rRNA from 1 species